rnacentral:rRNA from 1 species
CGCUGGCGGCACGCCUAACACAUGCAAGUUGAACGAAGUAGCAAUACUUAGUGGCGAACGGGUGAGUAUAAUGUGGGUAUCUGCCUUUUGGUUUGGAAUAACACGGGGAAACUUGUGCUAAUACCGGAUAAGCCUUUACAGGGAAAGCUUUAGCGCCAAAAGAUGAGCCCGCACUUGAUUAGCUAGUUGGUAAGGUAAUGGCUUACCAAGGCUACGAUCAAUAGCUGAUCUGAGAGGAUGAUCAGCCACAUUGGGACUGAGACACGGCCCAAACUCCUACGGGAGGCAGCAGUGGGGAAUCUUGCACAAUGGGGGAAACCCUGAUGCAGCGAUGCCGCGUGAGUGAAGAAGGCCUUUGGGUUGUAAAGCUCUUUCGUCGGGGAAGAAAAUGACUGUACCCGAAUAAGAAGGUCCGGCUAACUUCGUGCCAGCAGCCGCGGUAAUACGAAGGGACCUAGCGUAGUUCGGAAUUACUGGGCUUAAAGAGCUCGUAGGUGGUUAGAAAAGUUGGUGGUGAAAUCCCAAGGCUUAACCUUGGAACUGCCACCAAAACUUUUUAACUAGAGUGUGAUAGAGGAAAGUGGAAUUUCUAGUGUAGAGGUGAAAUUCGUAGAUAUUAGAAAGAACACCGAUUGCGAAGGCAACUUUCUGGAUCAUUACUGACACUGAGGAGCGAAAGCAUGGGUAGCGAAGAGGAUUAGAUACCCUCGUAGUCCAUGCCGUAAACGAUGUGUGCUAGACGUUGGAAAUUUAUUUUCAGUGUCGCAGCAAAAGCGUUAAGCACACCGCCUGGGGAGUACGACCGCAAGGUACUAAAUGAUUACG